CCUACGGGUGGCAGCAGUGAGGAAUAUUGGUCAAUGGACGCAAGUCUGAACCAGCCAUGCCGCGUGCAGGAAGACGGCUCUAUGAGUUGUAAACUGCUUUUGUACGAGGGUAAACGCAGAUACGCGUAUCUGUCUGACAGUAUCGUACGAAUAAGGAUCGGCUAACUCCGUGCCAGCAGCCGCGGUAAUCCGGAGGAUUCAAGCGUUAUCCGGAUUUAUUGGGUUUAAAGGGUGCGUAGGCGGUCGGAUAAGUUAGAGGUGAAAUCCCGAGGCUCAACUUCGGAAUUGCCUCUGAUACUGUUCGGCGAGAGAGUAGUUGCGGUAGGCGGAAUGUAUGGUGUAGCGGUGAAAUGCUUAGAGAUCAUACAGAACACCGAUUGCGAAGGCAGCUUACCAAGCUACUUCUGACGUUGAGGCACGAAAGCGUGGGGAGCAAACAGGAUUAGAUACCCUAGUAGUC
rnacentral:rRNA from 1 species